GACAGCGGUGCCCCUCUGCGGGCCGCACAUGCGCUGCCCGGCCGCCCAGCUCGGGGUGGGCAGGGCGCAUAUGCGGCAGCCGCCAGCCCCACUACCACGCCGCUUUCCCGUAGUCGGUUGCACGUGCAUCUCCGUGGGCUGCUGAAGGGCAGUGUGCAAGGUGUGAGGUGCGUCAGCAGCCCACGGAGCUGCACGCGCGACCGGCUGCAGGCAAGCAGCGCAGGGCGUAGCGGCGGUGGCGGCCGCGGCCGCUGCGUGUGCAGCCCCACCCCCUCCCGGGUAGGCGGCGCAUGUGCGGCCCACAAUGUGCUGAGCAGCGCUGCCCUCACGCCCGGCCCGGCCCGGCCCGGCCCGGCCCUGGGGGGGAAAACAGAGCGAGCUGAGAUCAUCUGGAAAAGAUGUCCACAAAGAACACCGGGAUUUUCCCUGACUACCGGUAUUCCAUGCUGCUUGACAAACACAGAGGAUCACAUAUGGCUUGCUGCUCUGUAAGAGUUUAACAGUAAAACCCAGAUUUUUUUUCAUAUCGGGAUGGUUCAAAACCCCUCGGUUUGCAGUAGGUUGCCAAACUAAGAAUAAAUUGACCGGCUGUUUGGUGAGAUUUUUACUACAAAGAAUAAAGAUCACCUCUGCACAACUGAUUGGAUAAGUGGCACAGCACCUUUUGAAAUAAAAGCUGGAGCAUCUCAGUGAUCCUGCACUGCUGUUUGCUGUGUAUCUGUAUAGCCCUGGCCAGUUCACAAGCCCUCUGUUUUGCAAGGGGUAAGGAAGAGAGCUCUGUAAACCAUCCAGGUGCUAUUCCGUUUCUUCAUGCAACAUGUAUGACCCCAGCGUGCAGCUGAAUAUGGCCCUUGCUGAUGAAUUGGAUUCCAAUGUAUCAUGUCCCAUAAUUACGAAUGGUGAGAAUAGCCUGCAAUGUGCAGGGGUAGUUCUGCAUAGUAACUGAUAGACGUUUUUGCAUAUGUAUUGCUGUUUUGUAACUGCUUAAUAAAGCCAAAGUCAAAGUC